AUUUCCCAUAUGGGACCCAAAAAAAGGGGGGAGCACACAUCAGAGAGCAGAAUUUCAUUUUUUUUAUUUCUUCUCCACGGUAUAUACCAUAGACACACCAUUUUUCUUGAGGGAAUGCAUCUUCUUCUACACAAUUCCACAUACAAAAACAUACUCACCACACCUACUCUACGAAGAGAACAAUUCCAUUCCAUGGGUAAUUCACGCUUUAGAUAACACACACAGAGAGAAACUAGGAAGAAGAAAAGAGUGACGUCAUUUCUUCCUUCCUCUUCUUAUUGGUCCAUACACACCAAUAGAGAGGAGGUUGAGAGUGAAAGGGAGACGAGAGAGAGAUCGAUUGAGAGAGGGUAGAGAGGAAUACAAUGCGAGAGAGAGAGAGAAAUCGAGUGAGAAGGGCGAAAACACAGAAUGGAGGCAUCCCUGCCGACUGAUUUGAGUUUUCCGGCGAACUGGUCGUCGGAAUCCGCCAUUUUUUGCCGAAAAUGACCUACCCCACUACCAAACCCGUCGGUAAAUCACAAGAAACGACCCUCUUCGGCCAAACCCAACCAAAAUAUCACCUCCUCUUUCAUUAAUUUUGUUCGAACCUCACCGGGAAAACUCACUGUCGCCUACACUUGACCAAAAACAGUCCAAAAACGUUGGAAGUCAGCAAUAUAGUCACAGCGUCUACAAAAACCGAAGCUAGUCCAGUGAAGUUUCGAUUCGAAUUCGGUUUAGGCAGAAUUAGUUGCGGGUUGUCUUUAUUUCGAGAUUCUUAGACUAGUUUGGUGAUUAAACCGAGUUCGGGAUCGAGUUUGGGUUCGGUUUGAGGUCCGGCGGCGCUCGAAUCAACUAAUCCAAUUUAAUCGAAAUAAAAUCAUCAAUUGAGUUAAUUUAAGGUGGUUGGUUUGUGGCUUCCUGGCUGGUCCUCCAUAUCACGCCAAAUUCAAGGAAGGUUUAGUUGUGUCCAACAAGGAUAUAGAGAGUGACACCAUGGAUGAAACAAAGAGUCAGGAAAUUGAGAGUUUAAAGGAAGAAAAUUUGAGACUGAAACAACAAAUGAUGAAAAUGUACUGAGCUUGGGCCAGUGGACUGCCUCCACCUCCGUUCCCCAUUUUUGACCCUACAAAUACCUUGAGUCUUCCAUCACAAUCACAAAAUCAGCUUCCUACUGUUGUUGAUGCACCACAACAUGCCUCAGAAUCCAUUCCGCGUCAAAUGCACCUCAAUACUUCCAUCACUCUUUCUUUAGCUCCUCAGUAUAAGUCUACCACAUUCACAGCACCACAUACUGUCUAUGCUUUUGUUGCUCAACCUUUUACUAAGACUUCUACUUUGGCUAUCAAUCCAACAAUUGUGCUUCCCCAGUCCACUAGUGAAUCCACGUUCAAUACUCUUGAUGAUCAUUCUUAUACUCUUGAGCCUACCGUUAAAUUAAGUGGACCACUAAAAUUUCUUACUAAGAAACCUAGCAUGCUAGAAGAGCUAGAGAAAGUAGUUGGGAAAGUUAAGAGUGUGAAAAAUGAUAUAAAAAAUUCUCCUAGACUUAUGGGCUAUGAAGAUGUUUCAUUUAAAAACUAGGGUAUUUCUUCAAGUUUUACCCUUCCUCCCAGCUUUGAGACAUCAAAAUUUGGGGAGCCUGAUAGACAGAAGGAUUCUGUGAAAUAUUUGGGACGACGUUGCAAUCAACCGAGGGAAACUGAAGGAAAGAAGAAAGAAAACACGCCUAUUGUCAUGCUAGGGCCAAAGCAGAGAUUGAGAGGUACAACCCACCAAUACUGUCAGCCUCAAUCCCGAGCUUACAUAUUAGAUCCACAUAACCACUUGCAACAAGGUUUCUUUCCCGGCCAAAAUCCAAGAAAUCCCAUUCAUCUUCCUUAAUAUCCUUUGAACAAUGCACAAUUGUAUGUUCAUCCAUCUUCUUAUCCACAAUGGCAUGCACCUGUCAUCAACAUCAUCUACGACGCCCACAAAUUUACCAAGGAACUUCUAAAUUCAAGUUUCAUCUGAGGCCAGAGUUCGCAAAGAGGAGGAAGAAAAAAGAUAAUUUCACUCCUAUUGGGGAAUUCUAUGCCAGUUUAUUCCAGAGAUUGGUACAGCAUGGCAUGAUCACUCUUCUCCUUGGGUAUACUCCUAACCCAUAUUUAAGAAGUUUUGAUCCUAAUGUACGAUGUGCAUAUCAUUAUGAUGUUCAGGGUCACAAUAUUGAAGAUUGUCAUGCUUUGAAAAGAGAAAUUGAAAAGAUGAUUCAAGAUAAAUUAAUUAUGGUGCAGAACAUUGACAGUGAGGAAAGCUCUAGUCAUGCUGAUAUGCAAACCAAUGGCUAAGAUGUCAGGCUGAGCAAUUUAGAAAUCACCCCUCCCUCCUAGGAAGGGGUCUGGUAGUUUGUUUUGUUUUAUUUUUUGUUAUCCGAAUUAUUUCAGGGUUGUAGUUCAGGAU